GUUGGGAACAGCUGAACUAAAAGAACUGAAUUUGUUGCACGAGAGAAGGACAAAGACUAGCCCCCAAUGACAUGGAUGGAAAUCAGCCCAUCCAUGGCCCCUAAUGUUGAACAAUCUGGUUUGAAUCACAGAGAAGAGAAGAGUAGAAAAACCCAAGACACACACAGCCUUCACCCCCUCCUUCUGGACCAGGGGUCAGCAACCUUUGUAAAGGCCCCUGUAGGCCCAAUAGACAGCUGACCUUCCAUUAUCCAGCACUUCUUUAUCCAUGGCUUUAAUCAACUCCCAGCUAUGGAAUUCCGAGACAUAACUCCAUUUUGGCCUCCGGUCACAACUGAGACCUCAAUGAUCCGGUGAUGCUGUGAUUCUCCAGGACAAGAAACAUCCUGGAAGCUGAAAACAUCCUGGGAGGAACAAACAUCUACUCAGUUCCUCAUUGUUCUUGGACUGUUACCAUCUUGUUUACGCGGAUGUACUGAACUCUCUGCAAGUCAUUUGUUACAUUUGUUUCUCCC
rnacentral:lncRNA from 1 species